CCAAAAACUUACAUCAAGUCAAGCUAAUGACUAUCCCUAUGGAUAUUUAAUUCUGCUUUAAAUUAAUACACAGUAAGUUGUUUGUGUCCCUAAACCAUAAUUAAUGUUGGUGAAAAUCGGAUACAGAUUACAAACAGCAAAAUCAUUUUAUGAUUAAAAUAAACAAUCGGUUCUAAGACAUUAGGAAACUGUGUUGUACUUGGAUAUCUGCAAUAUUUCUCUGUGUUUUACAGUUUUUGAGACACCAUCUCCAAUUCCCCGGAGUGUCCUUGUCUUGCGGAUUGUCCCUGCCCUUGGCGAGGCAGAGGCAGGCGUGGUCGUGCCUGCACGGCUACUCACCUCCUGGAUGUAGUUGCGUGCCUUCAGAGUGAAGUUCUUGCCGCCGAUGGAGAAGAACAUCUCGGGCAGCUUGCUGGCCGUGCUACAGUCCACCUGCACGGGAACCACACAUCACUUAGAAACACACGACUUAGAACAGUCAUAAGUUAGAAACCUCGAAAAAAAUUCACGUAACUUAGAACUGUCAUAAGUUAGAAACGAUCAUAACUUAGAAACACGUAACGUAGAAUUAUCAUAACUUAGAAACAGACAACUUAGAACAUGCAUAACUUAGAAGAUUCUAUCUCGUAUGUUUCUAAGUUGGGUGUUUCUAAGUUGUGACAGCACCCCCACCUGCAGCAAACAGUGAGUGUUCAUGCUAGGCACGGGGAGGGCUCUUAGUUUGUCUCGACAGCCGUGUGGCAGAACACUCCCGGUACCACGUAGUGUGGUGUGACGACUGUAUCAACACCAAGUUUAGUAGACUCUUUGUUUUAUAUCCGUUCUUAAACUGUGAAAUAUUUAAUAACCAUAACCAAGAGGGGAAAAUUGUCAUUGUAAACCAUGCAUAUUAUAAACAUUCCAUUACCUUUUCACAAAUGUGGACCUGAGCAAACAACGUUCAAUGUGUUUUCUGCACCGAAACCACCCUGAGCAAGUCGUUUCUCGCUAGUGGUUGGCAAUUUGACUCCGUCAUGCAACCAAGCGUGACAAGUUCCGCAGAGUCUUUGUUUUGCAACAUUACAUUAUUGCAUUCAACUCGCCUAUCACAGACACCAGAAUGAAGUGUGCACUGCCACGCACUUUGAUCUUUUCUCCGAAAGGCCCCGACCAAUCGCAAUUCCAACCACUUUCCGCACCCACGUGGUACUUAAAACUUCACUGGUCUUUAAUCAUAACUACAUGUAAUGUUAUGUAUAGGUAAUUAAGGGUAACCAUGUGUAAUGUCACAUAUAAUAAGCAGCAGGCACGUGUCUGAAACUAAGACCAUCAAUUCAACUACGUCUGCGCCCAAGCGAUGAGCAAGCCAACUUUGCAGUAAAUGUUGACUAUUCUGUCUCGUAGUAUCAAUCAUCUACACGACAGGCCAUGUUAGCACAUACAGUAAUAGUCCGUUAUAACGUAAAUUUAUAACAGCGCCAAAAGUUUAUUUUAUAGCGAAUUUUCGUUAUAGCCAAAAAUUAAAAAAAAUCUAAUUUUUGUAGCAUUUUUAAAAUAUAUUAUUUUCUCGCUGGUUUUUACUAUGGAAAUUCACUACAAAAUUAAAGGAAAUAUACAUAAAACUUAUUAAAAUAACAUUGUUAAGCUAUAUCAGCACUUGCCGACUGCAAAAUAUGAGACCACGUGGCCGUGAUAAGGCCGUCACGCACAUCGAGGCUAAGCGCACAGCGGUUUGUUUACAUGGAGACGGGCGGGCGGGGUCACGCAAGGUCAUGCCGGCCGCUUCUUGUCGCUUUGACCGCAGCUGGUUUGCUGGAGACAUGUGCGCUAAGCUGACGAUAUCGGGUGCAUAUUUGCGGAGUUUUGAAUACUUACUAACAAUAUGUAAAUUCAAAGAUGUAGUGAAAUUUAUUUUAAAAUUUGUUACAAUAUUAGGCCUACUCACGUUGACACCUAUUAAAAAUGUCAAACACAAAAAAAAAAUUUUUUAAAAAAUCUCUAAUUACGUUGGACAGCCAUACAAAUUAUAAAAAAUAAUUUUUCCGACAAUUGGUCAGUAACACAAAAAUAAUCACUCGUACAGACCUUUGGAAAAUAACACAAAAUUAAAAAUCACUUUUUAAAAAACUAAUUAAUUUUCGUUUGCCUUGAUUUCACUAGACUUUCGGACAAAAUAAACGACUGGACCUCUUGGAAGUUCAUCAAAUCUUUCGUCGAAGCAUUUGUAUGCUGAUAAAAACGACUGAUUGUGUCAAGUGCCUCCAUCAUUGGCGUUUUCGACGGAACAGAUACGUCACUUGGUUCGUCAUCAUUAUUGUCAUCAUCUUCAGACGCUGCUUCGUUUUGAUUAGAAGAGACGAGCUCGACAAGUUCCGUGUUCGUCAACUCCCCGCACACGUCAACAUUAUAAUCAGCGCGUAGUGCCGUACACUAUAGCUGUAGCAAACCGUAUGUAUUCGGUACUGAGAAACGGGUGCGCCAUCUAGUAAAGAGUAACGAAACGUUACACACGAAUUCAUUUCGUUACUCGCAUUUUUCGUAUGUUUUACACAUGCGCGUGCAUAUUUGAUGAAUUUACGUUACAAAGAACGAUGUUUGUUUAUUUUAAGUAAAGUAUAAUUUGGAAAUUCGUCGUCCAAGUUUUUUACUGUUUAUUAAAGGUAUUGUGUGUGUAGACAAAGUUUGAGAUUGGAACAGAAAAUACGUAAGAAAGUAUUUUUUUACAAAUUAGAAAUAUGUAUGUUUUUGUUUUUUAUUAUCACGUAUUUUCACAUUUUUUUCUUAUCUUAUAAGAGAUAAUAUAAUAAAGCCGCUCUAAUGAGAUUUAAUUUUUCUUGGUUAACGAAAACUGUUAAUUAUCAAAUAUUGUUAAUUGUUUAUAUUCUAUUUAUUAUUAUUUACGCGACGUCAUACUGAUACAGUACGCGUACGCAAUACGACUCGAUUCGUUGCUGGAACAUAACAUAGCAUGUUAUGUGGUAUCAGAAGUAACGAGUAACGUAACGAUACGAUAGUAACGAGUACUAAUUGUUAUAGUAACGAAUACAUACGGGUACACUUUUUUUCAUUACUUUUACACCUCUACCGUACACUGAAACUACACCGUACACAACACUUACGAUGCAGGUGUGAGAUGAGUUAUGCUCAUUUACGGGCUACAGUCAGCGUGAUUCUAAAUAAGUAAUGCUCGCAGUGGGGCCCUGUCGCACUUGCUUUCGUCGCUGCGAGGCAAGCUAUGCUCGCUGUGGGGCCCCACCUUGUGCGGUGUUGCCAAGACGGCCACAUCAUGCGCGUUGUUUCAUUUUCCGGACGCGUGUAAUUGAGCGAAGCUGUUUCUCAUUUAUUAAGGAAAUUGUAGAUGUUUUCUCAUUGUUUUAGAGCAACAUUACAGGUGUGUAAUCUAUUGCUAUAGGGAAAAUGAGCCCACGCUGCAUUAGUUAUUUCUGAAAUUUUUAUCCUACGCAGCAUAUGCAAAACUGACGGUGCCAAUGGCAAUUAUCGUUAUAGCGGACUUUACGUUAUAGACCGUAUUCGCUACAACGUACUUUCACUGUAUGUACUUCUAAACUGGAUCUCACAGUCACAUUGUGAUGUUAGGCCCUGCGUCUCCACGCUCCGCACGUUAGCGCACAGGAAAACCAGAACGCUAGCUGGCGCCUGAUAUCAACACCUAGCCAACACUUCAUGAGACAAGCAGUAGGCAUUUGUAAUAUAAUUCUGUGUAUUGUAAAUUGUGUUGAGAUGCUUACAACUGUCUGACCAAUAAUGCAUGAUGUUUGAAAAUAUGUUACACCGACCACGUGUGCAGGACACGGUGGAUCGGGAACGUAACGGUGAGCAGCGGGGAACAAGGUUGGUUCACGACGAGCGGAAUGACACGCACCUUGUAGCGGCCGAACGCAAUGCUCUUGGCCCCCAGGAUGUCGUUGAUGCGGUCGACUUCGGCGGCGGGCCCGCUGAUGACGGUGGUGCUGGUGUCCAGCAUGGCAGGGCAGCCACCCACGCAGAACCCCAGCGUGGUGUUCACGUCCACGUGCACGUACGCCCUGCGACAACACAGUGGUCCACCCGUGUACCGUCCCAGCCGGAGCCUUCAGGGCCGUAAUAUCACAGUACCGCCAACCCCGCAGCACGAGGUGCCACAUGCACUGCGCUCACCUGUUGAGGUAGAAGGAGAAGAUGGGCCGGGCCACCAGCCCCUGCUUCACGAUGUUGUAGAAGAAGGGAACCGCCCCGUCGAUCGCCAGCCCGCUGUAGCCCAUCCCGAACACUCCGUCCGCCUUGGAGAAGGCGUAGAUGAGGGGCAGCUGCGUGAUCUCCGCGAACGUCUGGUUGGUUAUCUUGAUGUGGCCCAUCUGCGACACGCACGCCCCAAUCAUCGACACUUUCCUGGGGCAACGUGACAGGCACAGGGUUCCCACGCUCCUUGAAAGUCCUUGAAAGGUGCUUGAAAUGGUUUGAAGUAAUCAAGAGCCCUUAAAAGUGCUUGAAAAAACAUUUAGGUGCUUAAAAGUGCUUGAUAAAAUUUACACUGUUUGUAAGAGUUAUAAUUACGUCGUAUUUAUUUAGAACAAGUUAAAAGUGGGGAACAGCAAUUUAAUUUUAUGAUAUUUAUGGUAUGUUCAAAUAAAUUUCACAUAGAUUAAUGCCCCGUUUUUCGACGGCAUAUGAUAAGAUAUCUUCUAUGUACUAUUUUUAUCGGCAGUUAUGGUGUUAUCAAUGUUUUUGUUCUGAUAAAAGUUUGGUAUAAUGUUUAACUCAGCCCGUUUGCAAUGUUUCUGUUCCUCCAAUAAGCUUUUAUCUUUCUGUUUGUAAGUAAUACACAGAAGAAAAAAAAACAAUUCUGCACGUGUUCAAAAUAUACGUACUAAAAUUAUUUCAUAAUACUUGGGUCCUUGAAAUUUUUGAAAAAGUUCUUUGAAUGUGCUUGAAAAGUGCUUGAAUUUUCUUAGAUAGAAGGAGUGGGAACCAUGAGGCAGUAUGACAGGCCGCUGUUGCUGCAGGUCCGGGAACCAUGCUACGCAGGAGUUGUACACGUAUUCGGUGUGAUGGCGAGAAAACUUUAAUAACGAUGAUUUCGGCCACUAGUAGGUGUACGAGACCUGUAACGGACCCGAAAGUGGAAAUUUGUACCGAAGUGACAUCACAGCGCUAAAAGAAUUCCACAAACAAGAAUUCCGCGUCGUAAGCUUGCGAGGACAUUUGCCAGCGGAAUGGUAGAAUCACGCAUCCUAAACAUUUAGCCUUUUUUUGACUUAUUUAUCAGCCAUUUGCUGGCAUAUUUAUUUCCUGGAUCCAUAACCUUUUUUAGUAGGAACCGCGGUAAAGGGUCAGGCGGCGGUGUUCAGUAAAUUUUAAAGUUAAACGUCUUGAAGCAGCUGACAGACGCACCCCCUCUCCGGGAACGGGAACGCAAAUUAGUCGCUGGAAGACGCAGCACUGACUUUCAGAACUCAAGUAGCCUUGCGUGUGGGAAUUGGAUCUACGAAAUGAGCUAGUGAGGCUGCUGACAGCAAUGUCAUCUGUACCCGCAAGGGGAAGAGACGGGCACUGUGCCGCUAUGUCGCACAUGGGCCUGCCUUCAAGGCUGGUGAAAGCACUAUUACUGUCAUCAGGAGUUGUAACCUACUUCCGUUCUAUUUUUAAAAUAAUUUAUUUUCAAUUCAAUUUUUUUUACGUACUUAGGGUGGCCACUCUGUUGACAAAACCAAAUUCUAGGUUUUCCUCCAGGAAUUUUCAAGCUUUCUCUAUGAAAUUUCAUAAUAUUUAUAAAUUCAUAAAAAUAUAUGUAACGCAGCUAACGACAUUGGUGACAUUAGAGCUGAAACCAAAUUAACGAUUUAGUAUUAUACAUCAACUGUUUAAUAUUAUGACAAACUAGAAUAUACAGUCCUUGAUUAACGGACACUUAAUUUUGUUGUUUUUAAUUUGGUUAACGGAUGUCUUGUGACUGCUGACAUUUCCACAGGGUUGGUGCUUCUAGAAUACACCACCAGAGCGCUGCACUGCUUACAAACGUGAAUAAGUUUUGCACGCAUGCGUAAUGGUUAUCAAAGGAUAGCGCAACUGUAUCUGCGUAUCCUUUCUCCCGCAUCUAUAAAAAAGGAGGGUAAGACUUGGCUGCAAUACAUACGAUGCGCUUGUCUAAGAAAACAGCAGCCAACCCAACCCUUCCACUGGCCCGUAAGUCCUGUGGUGACAAGGGAAUCUGUGCACGUCGUUCAGUCGUUUGCCAGACGGUGAUGUACACUAGGCGCUCCAUGGCCAGCCAUUAGUCCUUCGUUGCAUUCACAGAAUUAUUAUUAUCAACAUUUUUAAUUCAACACAGACAUAUGGAUAAAAAAAAAAUCAUGCUAAAUCAGCCUCUUGAUUCGGAAAGGAGGAGGUUUGAAGUGAGUUUACCCUUCAGUAAACAACUGCCCCUCCAUUAAAGGCAUGUGAGAAAAAACUAUCACUUUCCACGCGCUCUCACAUAUUUCGGGCCGCUUUUACAAACACAAGAGUCGGUACAGUACCGUGGCUGGCGCGAGUCCGUGCCGCUGCAAACGGUGCUGUCGCCGUCACCGUACCAUGACCACCAGAUAAUUGCGGACGAUAUUUCCAUUACCAUGCAACUGGUGGAUAUUCACGUUUAGUUGCCAGAUGACGGAUGAAACAAUGUCCAUUUAGAAUAGAAAACAAUGUGAGAUUGCGGUCGGUGAAGUUACGGGCUCGGCCGGCCACUGCAUCGUCACGUCACUGGUGUGUGUAAAUUGGCCUUUCCUCAUAUUUUUCUUUCUCUCACCCUAGCUCUUUCCAAGGUCAAGCUCUUUCCAAGGUCACCAGGCUAACCUGUCUACAACCUUCAUGCUUGCUGCGCUGUGAUGCGUCAUCCCGCCGCGCUGCCUGGCAUGUCACGAGUCGGCCGUAGAGUUUCAACAUCGCAUGUUAGUCAUUUUUGGAAAGUCUACAUGAUUUAAUUAACGCACGUUUUGCUUAACAGACAUUUCUGGGAAUGUAACCUGUCCAUUAAUAAAUGACUUACUGCAUUCCUGUAAGACUAUAAUCUUUCCUUGGUAUAGGUAAGUGUAUUUCCUGAACAUACCAGAUUUAGUUGCCCUUUUAUGGUGUUUAAACUAAGACAGUAGCAAACAACAGCUAAAUUUUAUGUAGAGAGAGCAUUGGUAUAAAUGAUACAGCAAACCAUAAGGGCACAACUAAAAUUACUUUAGCAGCUUACACAUUAAAAUAGUAAUUAUUAACGAACGUAAUUAAAAUUCUCACCAGUAUUUUUGUUAGUUGAACACUAUAAAACAUUAUCAAAACUUUAAAUUCUCCAUACAGAAUCUUUCAGUCAGAGUUAUCUACAAAUUAUGAAUUAAUACAUGUAAAAGUAGGUACCUCCAGACUAAAAACUAAUGAUCACUUUAAUACUACAUAGCUGUAGAAAAAAUAUACAUCAAAAUUAAGUAAACAGUUUGAUAAACAUAUUUUUUUUCUUAGGUAGCCUUAAAUAACUUAAUUAUUAAAGCACAAUGAGUUCAACACUUUUUUUUGUCCUAACAUUAAUGUUUUACAAAAUGAUAGAUGUGAAUAGAUAAUAAAACAAAAA